rnacentral:rRNA from 1 species
AGCGAACGCUGGCGGCAGGCCUAACACAUGCAAGUCGAACGGACCUUUCGGGGUUAGUGGCGGACGGGUGAGUAACACGUGGGAACGUGCCUUUAGGUUCGGAAUAGCUCCUGGAAACGGGUGGUAAUGCCGAAUGUGCCCUUCGGGGGAAAGAUUUAUCGCCUUUAGAGCGGCCCGCGUCUGAUUAGCUAGUUGGUUGAGGUAACGGCUCACCAAGGCGACGAUCAGUAGCUGGUCUGAGAGGAUGGCCCGCCACAUUGGGACUGAGACACGGCCCAAACUCCUACGGGAGGCAGCAGUGGGGAAUCUUGCGCAAUGGGCGAAAGCCUGACGCAGCCAUGCCGCGUGAAUGAUGAAGGUCUUAGGAUUGUAAAAUUCUUUCACCGGCGACGAUAAUGACGGUACCCGGAGAAGAAGCCCCGGCUAACUUCGUG